rnacentral:rRNA from 1 species
AGUUGCGAACGGGUGAGUAACGCGUAGGUAACCUGCCUAUGUAGCGGGGGAUAACUAUUGGAAACGAUAGCUAAUACCGCAUAACAGCUUUUGACACAUGUUAGAAGCUUGAAAGAUGCAAUUGCAUCACUACGAGAUGGACCUGCGUUGUAUUAGCUAGUAGGUAGGGUAACGGCCUACCUAGGCGACGAUACAUAGCCGACCUGAGAGGGUGAUCGGCCACACUGGGACUGAGACACGGCCCAGACUCCUACGGGAGGCAGCAGUAGGGAAUCUUCGGCAAUGGGGGCAACCCUGACCGAGCAACGCCGCGUGAGUGAAGAAGGUUUUCGGUAUCGUAAAGUCUCUGUUGUAAGAGAAGAA